UCUCUGAUAGUAUAUCGGCUAGUACACCCGCCUGUCAUGUAGAACAGGCCAGUGCAAUUGGUCGCGGGAGAGCUGGGUUCGACUCCCAGUCAGAGAG